CAGCCGCCGCGGUAAUACGUAGGUGGCAAGCGUUGUCCGGAAUUAUUGGGCGUAAAGCGCGCGCAGGCGGCCUUUUAAGUCUGAUGUGAAAGCCCCCGGCUCAACCGGGGAGGGUCAUUGGAAACUGGAAGGCUUGAGUACAGAAGAGAAGAGUGGAAUUCCAUGUGUAGCGGUGAAAUGCGUAGAGAUGUGGAGGAACACCAGUGGCGAAGGCGACUCUUUGGUCUGUAACUGACGCUGAGGCGCGAAAGCGUGGGGAGCAAACAGGAUUAGAUACCCUGGUAGUCCACGCCGUAAACGAUGAGUGCUAGGUGUUGGGGGGUUUCCGCCCCUCAGUGCUGAAGCUAACGCAUUAAGCACUCCGCCUGGGGAGUACGGCCGCAAGGUUGAAACUUAAAGGAAUUGGCGGG
rnacentral:rRNA from 1 species